CAGUUUUUCAAUGCUAUUAAAACCACCCAAAUCUUCUCCUUUGGUGGGCUAGUUUGUGUAAUAGUUAUACAACUAUUUAAAAAAUUGCAAAACAGUAGGCUUGCAUGAGUAGGCUUGUAUGGUAGCCUACAGUAGACUACUGGCGCAUGUGAUGAAUGAUCAUCAAUGUUUUCAAUUUCUGUAGCCUAUAUCUUGUUGUUAUAAAUAAAUAGUGCCUACAGUUUAUGCAACAUAAUUUGUCCCACAGAGGUAAAACAGACAGUCGGUUAACUAAAUGCACUUCAUAUAUCGUUCACGGCAAUAAGAAAACCUCAGCUGGCUACAUUAAAAAAAACUUCGUGGCAGUUCCAAAUUUGCGAACACAUUCCGAUAGUGAAAGUUUUGUUGAACUUUCCACGUCAGCAAGGUAAAUUAGAUUUGGAUAGUUUACGAUAUUUUUUUUUCAACUGAAAAUGCCAGCAUUGUCUAUUUAUUUGGAGUUUCAUUCAAUACUUCAAAGGCCUUGAGGUAGGCCGAUAAGCUCCUUCAACGUCGUAAUUAUGGUCGAGACUUGUGUGCAGCGUGUCGUGCGCCCACAGACAGCAACAUACCACGCGCAGGAAGGGAAAAAUAUCGAAAACGCGCAUUACCUCGGGUUCUUUUGAGCGAGAAGGAGCAAUCACAACUAUCUGUGUGACGAGGAAAGCUGCAAUCGCUUGCAAAGUUUGGGAGGAGCAGACAAAUUCAACUUCAUGAUAUCCUGUGUCACGCUGGGAAAUUAUUGCUAACAUUGUAUCAUUGUCACAUAUUUCUCCACGUGGCACAUGACUGGAACUUGUAAAGCACGGUUAAUGUUAGAUUUUGACAAACGGAACCUUUGUGUGACAGCACAGAGACCCCUCCACAUUGGCAUGUUGAAUGUGUCUGCACUGCCGCUCCGUCAGAAGUGUCGGUGUAUUGUGAUGAACCGCUGAUGUAAUGAUUCGACUGGGGCGGAAGCUACUACGUCCAGUCUGGAUAUUUAGUGGCAAUAUCGAUAAGGGAAGACCAAUGAUUGGAUGGACUGUAAUAACUGAAUAUAACUGAAGAUAAUGCCAGAGGGGCCUUUAACUGACUACAAGAGGAAGCCUUCAAUCUUUGGCCCCAAAUGUCCCAAAUGUCCGGUGAGGAAGACAACCAUUGUCACAAAAUGGACCAAAGGACAUGACCUUACAAGUGCCCUCCAGGGUCUGUGUACGUUUUGUUAUUUUGAUUUCCGAGUGAAAAUGGAGAGUGAAAAACAGAACAUCAACUUAUUUUCUCACAAUGUAAAUUAUUGUGUGGAUUAUAAUUAACUGACAGUGUUGUAAGGGUUGAUGCCUUUUUGUUAGGAAAAAUCAAGUCUGACAUUUUAAUGUAGAAAUUACAAACUUUAGAAGCCUUUUUUAAACCUUGAAUACAUUGCAAGUUUGCAUUUUCUGCUGUGCGGGACAUUUCCUGCAACAACAGGCUGAUCAAAUUAAGAUCCUACACCUGUAUACAUUUAUAGAUGUAGGCCAAUUGUCGUAGCAAAAGCCGUGUUCACAAUUGAAGAGAAUAGCACCCGUCUGCCUUUCAGUCAGCAGGAAAGGAUGUUGAUGAGCUAUAAACCAUAUCAAUAAAAAGGCUUAUUUUAACUUAC